AGGAAGUGGGAGCCACAUACCCCGAGCUGGCGGCUUGAGCCUGUGGUAUCUAGGCUCACCUCACUGCGGUUGGUGGAGGUGAUGGAGGUUGCAGCUUGGCCAGCAUGGUAGAAAGGUGGCAGGGUAGGCACGUCUGGCUUUUACCACCCAGUUGCUUCGAGCCAGGAGAUGGAGGAGUCAUCUGUUGCACGCUGGAGGCUGGAGCCUGCAGAUGGCAUGGUUCUGUGGCUCACCUCGCUGCAGUUGGUGGCAGAGACAGAGACUGCAGCUUGACCAGAGUGGUGGAGUGGUAGGAGAGUGUCUGCGGGGGCCUCCUGGAGGUGAUAUGUAUCUCAAGAGCACUCCACAACAAAGAUUCUGCCUGCAAUCCUCCACUUCAAGGUCUGUUCCAGGAAACCUGUGUAACACAGUUAUGCAUAGAGUGGUCUUAGGAAGCUGACUCUAACAUGAAAAUUUAGAGUUGGAUCUUUUGCUGACAUAUUGAAUAUUCAUAAGAGCAUAUGAUACAUUUGUCUAUCAUAAACAUGUCAUUUCAAAAAACCCUCAAAGUUGCCUUGUAGAACAUAAUUUUAAAACUAGUGUGUAGGAAUAUUUCAUAUCAGUUAUUCAGUCUUCUUAAUAUCUGAACCGAAAUUAAUCUUCCAUUCUGCUUUUAUUUAUAAAUAAUGAUUUAUUGUCAGAUUCAAUAAUUUAUAUUUUCAUUUAUUCUAAGGUAGGAAAUACCAGCAUAAAAAUAAAUUAUUUGAAACAAAUC
rnacentral:lncRNA from 1 species